AGAGUUUGAUCAUGGCUCAGGACGAACGCUGGCGGCGUGCCUAAUACAUGCAAGUCGAACGCUUCUUUCCUCCCGAGUGCUUGCACUCAAUUGGAAAGAGGAGUGGCGGACGGGUGAGUAACACGUGGGUAACCUACCCAUCAGAGGGGGAUAACACUUGGAAACAGGUGCUAAUACCGCAUAACAGUUUAUGCCGCAUGGCAUAAGAGUGAAAGGCGCUUUCGGGUGUCGCUGAUGGAUGGACCCGCGGUGCAUUAGCUAGUUGGUGAGGUAACGGCUCACCAAGGCCACGAUGCAUAGCCGACCUGAGAGGGUGAUCGGCCACACUGGGACUGAGACACGGCCCAGACUCCUACGGGAGGCAGCAGUAGGGAAUCUUCGGCAAUGGACGAAAGUCUGACCGAGCAACGCCGCGUGAGUGAAGAAGGUUUUCGGAUCGUAAAACUCUGUUGUUAGAGAAGAACAAGGACGUUAGUAACUGAACGUCCCCUGACGGUAUCUAACCAGAAAGCCACGGCUAACUACGUGCCAGCAGCCGCGGUAAUACGUAGGUGGCAAGCGUUGUCCGGAUUUAUUGGGCGUAAAGCGAGCGCAGGCGGUUUCUUAAGUCUGAUGUGAAAGCCCCCGGCUCAACCGGGGAGGGUCAUUGGAAACUGGGAGACUUGAGUGCAGAAGAGGAGAGUGGAAUUCCAUGUGUAGCGGUGAAAUGCGUAGAUAUAUGGAGGAACACCAGUGGCGAAGGCGGCUCUCUGGUCUGUAACUGACGCUGAGGCUCGAAAGCGUGGGGAGCAAACAGGAUUAGAUACCCUGGUAGUCCACGCCGUAAACGAUGAGUGCUAAGUGUUGGAGGGUUUCCGCCCUUCAGUGCUGCAGCAAACGCAUUAAGCACUCCGCCUGGGGAGUACGACCGCAAGGUUGAAACUCAAAGGAAUUGACGGGGGCCCGCACAGGCGGUGGAGCAUGUGGUUUAAUUCGAAGCAACGCGAAGAACCUUACCAGGUCUUGACAUCCUUUGACCACUCUAGAGAUAGAGCUUUCCCUUCGGGGACAAAGUGACAGGUGGUGCAUGGUUGUCGUCAGCUCGUGUCGUGAGAUGUUGGGUUAAGUCCCGCAACGAGCGCAACCCUUAUUGUUAGUUGCCAUCAUUUAGUUGGGCACUCUAGCGAGACUGCCGGUGACAAACCGGAGGAAGGUGGGGAUGACGUCAAAUCAUCAUGCCCCUUAUGACCUGGGCUACACACGUGCUACAAUGGGAAGUACAACGAGUCGCUAGACCGCGAGGUCAUGCAAAUCUCUUAAAGCUUCUCUCAGUUCGGAUUGCAGGCUGCAACUCGCCUGCAUGAAGCCGGAAUCGCUAGUAAUCGCGGAUCAGCACGCCGCGGUGAAUACGUUCCCGGGCCUUGUA
rnacentral:rRNA from 1 species